CAAGCUGCCAAACACGGUCACCCAUCCAAGGACUCUCCGAGCUCGACGCUGCUUAACUUCACCGAUUUGUGACCUGAGCUUUGAGCACAGGAACACGCGCCACCACUUUCAUGUGUUUUGAAAUCAAGUA